CGGGCUGUAGUAUACCGGUAGUACGCGACCAUGGGGUGGUUGUAGACCGGGUUCAAUUCCCGGCAGCCCGAACA
rnacentral:tRNA from 1 species